rnacentral:misc_RNA from 1 species
AGAAGAAGAAGAAGAAAAAUAAGGGAAAAUUAUGCGAGCGAAGGGAUUUUGACUCGUAUACAUGGCUAAUAGGUGUAGCAUUUAGGUAAGGGAGAAAAUCAGAUUGGUUUGGCUAAUUUAUUUUUUGACUGAAUUAACCGAGCUAGAUCAAAAAAUAAAAAUCUUAAACUAUUAACUAACACCAAACUCAACUCAACUAAGCAUUUA